rnacentral:rRNA from 1 species
UACGAAGGGGGCUAGCGUUGUUCGGAAUUACUGGGCGUAAAGCGCGCGUAGGCGGACUCUUAAGUCAGGGGUGAAAUCCCGGGGCUCAACCUCGGAACUGCCUUUGAUACUGUGAGUCUCGAGACCGGAAGAGGUUGGUGGAAUUCCUGGUGUAGAGGUGAAAUUCGUAGAUAUCAGGAUGAACACCAGUGGCGAAGGCGGCUCCCUGGACGGUGACUGACGCUGAGUCGCGAAAGCGUGGGGAGCAAACAGG